UUAAAGAAAUAUGUGAAUCGAGAAAAAGCUUCUAACUUUUAGCUCUAGCGGUGAACCCCGUUAAUAUUUCU
rnacentral:tRNA from 1 species